AUUGAACGCUAGCGGGAUGCCUUACACAUGCAAGUCGAACGGAGUGGCGAACGGGUGAGUAAUGUAUCGGAACGAGCCCAGUAGCGGGGGAUAACUAAGCGAAAGCGUAGAUAAUAACGCAUACUAGUGGAGCGGCCGAUAUCGGAUUAGCUAGGUGGGGGGGUAACGGCUUACCAAGGCGACGAUCCGUCGCUGGUUUGAGAGGACGACCAGCCACACUGGGACUGAGACACGGCCCAGACUCCUACGGGAGGAAGCAGUGGGGAAUUUUGGACAAUGGGGGAAACCCUGAUCCAGCCAUCCCGCGUGUGCGAUGAAGGCCUUCGGGUUGUAAAGCACUUUUGGUAGGAAAGCGGUACCUGCAGAGUAAGCACCGGCUAACUACGUGCCAGCAGCCGCGGUAAUAC
rnacentral:rRNA from 1 species